rnacentral:rRNA from 1 species
ACUCAAAGGAAUUGACGGGGAGGCGCACAAGCAGUGGAGCGUGUUGUUUAAUUCGAUACAAAGCGAAAAACCUCACCAGGGUUUGACAUGUACUUGCAAAUCCCAUGAAAGUGGGACUCCUUCGAGGGUAGUACACAGAUGCUGCAUGGUUGCCGUAAGUUCGUGAUGUGAAUUGUCCCUUUAAGUAGGCAAACGAGCGAAACCCGCACCGUAUGUUAACUAAUCCAUGCGGAACAGCCUCAUUUUAUGAGGAGGAAGGAGCGGAUGACGACAAAUCUGCACGGCUCUUACACCCUGGGCUACAAACACCCUACAAUGGCGAACAACAACGAGUUGCAAGCGGGUAACCGCAAGCUAAUCUCUGAAAUUUCGCCUCAGUUCAGAUCGAGGUCUGCAAUUCGACCUCGUGAAGCCGGAAUUGCUAGUAAUCGCGGAUCAGCGGGCCGCGGUGAAUACGUUCUCGCCUCUUGUACACACCGCCCGU